UAACCGAGAACAUGAACUUCCGGUAGUGAUAAAAACAGGUAUUUUCAUCGGCAUCAGGCUGAUGGAAAAUUGAGGUGUUUCCAUGAAGCUGGCUUCCUAUUGGACGGAACCAGCUGUCAAUAAAGUAGAAACGUGUCUCAGGUGAAGAUGCUCUCCUCUGAUUGGCUGACUCUGAUAAAAGUUCUCUAAAGUUGUUUUAUCAGACUGAAUAAAGACGCUGAUUGGUUUGUUUUCUUCCUGGGUGUUUACAGUUUCCAGAAAUACCGAACAUCAUUGGUCAAACCUCUUGUUGAUAACUUAAAAUUGACGGAAAAUUUGUUGUUUUGAACUUUUUGUCCCUGCUGUGAAGGAAACAAGGGACCUAAUCAACUUUAUUUCAGGUACAUGCCCAAAGCCAAAUGUCAGAGCACUUAACAGAUCAAAAAACAUUGUUCUGGUAGAGUGUAAGGCUGAUCGAGCUUUUCCAGAACCUGAGAUAGAGCUGCAAAACAGCAACAACGAAACUAUUCCUGAAAACAAGACAGAGUACUUUGACAAUGGAACCAUUAUCCUCACUGCUGAAGUAACUAAAGAAGAUUUCUACACUUGUGUUGUGAGGCAGCAACCACCGAUCUGCCAUGAAAUUCGUUCAGAUCCAAACUUGUUGGGAGUUCCUGGGGCUUCAGGAGUUUUACAGUUGUCCUCUGGACUGCUGCUGCUGCCUUUAUUCGGACUGUUGAAGGAGUUGUUCUCAGUGUGGCCUUAGCUGGGUGUUUGAGGUUCUUCUCUGCUCACCUGUAGUUUAGUCCAACAGUUAGGUCAAGUCAAGCUGAUCGUGUGUAUGAUUGGUUGAUUAAAGUGUUCAAUAUUCAGUAAUUAUCCUGUAAAGAAAAUUAGGGGUGGAGAACCCUACUGUUGAGAUAAUCAGAAUGCAAAUUAAACUUGUGAUCAGUUGAUGAGUUUUAUUAGAUUACCUUUGAAAUUGUUCAUAAAAAAGUAUUUUCUGUGAGUUUGUUUGUUGACAACAUUGAUUUUCAUUUAAUUUUUUUUGUAUUGAUUGCUUA